UACGUAGGGUGCAAGCGUUGUCCGGAAUUACUGGGCGUAAAGAGCUCGUAGGUGGUUUGUCGCGUUGUUCGUGAAAACUCACAGCUCAACUGUGGGCGUGCGGGCGAUACGGGCAGACUUGAGUACUGCAGGGGAGACUGGAAUUCCUGGUGUAGCGGUGGAAUGCGCAGAUAUCAGGAGGAACACCGGUGGCGAAGGCGGGUCUCUGGGCAGUAACUGACGCUGAGGUGCGAAAGCGUGGGGAGCAAACAGG
rnacentral:rRNA from 1 species